rnacentral:rRNA from 1 species
AUUGAACGCCGGCGGCAGGCUUAACACAUGCAAGUCGAGCGGGGUGAUGGUGCUUGCACUAUCACUUAGCGGCGGACGGGUGAGUAAUGCUUAGGAAUCUGCCUAUUAGUGGGGGACAACAUCUCGAAAGGGAUGCUAAUACCGCAUACGUCCUACGGGAGAAAGCAGGGGAUCUUUAUGACCUUGCGCUAAUAGAUGAGCCUAAGUCGGAUUAGCUAGUUGGUGGGGUAAAGGACUACCAAGGCGACGAUCUGUAGCGGGUCUGAGAGGAUGAUCCGCCACACUGGGACUGAGACACGGCCCAGACUCCUACGGGAGGCAGCAGUGGGGAAUAUUGGACAAUGGGGGGAACCCUGAUCCAGCCAUGCCGCGUGUGUGAAGAAGGCCUUAUGGUUGUAAAGCACUUUAAGCGAGGAGGAGGCUCUUUUGGUUAAUACCCAGAAUGAGUGGACGUUACUCGCAGAAUAAGCACCGGCUAACUCUGUGCCAGCCGCCGCGGUAA